UACCCCCCCCCCAUAAAACAGUGUUGUAGAAUCAUUUAUUUUCCAUGAACUUGACUCCAUGUUAUCGUACCAAACAGGGUGCAAUAAAUGACCAAGGCCUUGGCAUGGUGUCGUGGUGGACAAGUGGCGGUGCAGGACAGGAUCUGGAGGAGGAGGAAGAGGAAGAUGGCGAGGUAGAGGAACUGGAAGAGGCUGCAUGACCUUGGUAGAAGACUAAUAACGGACAAUUUUUUUUAGAACUAAGCAUCAUGCUUAUGUUUUUAGGGUGUGGAUAUGGAGAGGGCUUACAACUGAACUAUUUGUGAAGCUUCAGCUAACACUAUAAACCUGUGAUUUGAUUAUAAUAAUAUAAACCUGUGACUCUGGAAGAGCUUACAUAAACUGUUGCAAAAUGUUAGGGAGUAAAGUCUGAAGGGAAAUUAUUUUUAUACAGUGAGCUGAAUGAUGAGUAGGUUGUGAUAGUGAAGUGCACACUUUUGAGGUAAAUUUAAAAAAUUAAAGCUAAAUGAAAGGAGUACUUGGUUGACAGCUGAAAGGAUGCUGAUAUCUUUAGAACCUCCACUAUCCCAAGACCAAGUAUAAAUAGUAUCACAGUACUUAAAAUCAAUUGUAAUUUUAGGCAAGAAUAUCAGGAAGUGGGAAAGUUACCAUUAACAUUGUGAUGUUGCAUUGGUUGACUUUGCAAUAAAAUGGGAUAUAAAAGAUAAUUCAUUAACUGUAGUAAAUGUUCUUUCAAAAUUGUAUGGCUGCAGCAUUAAUAACAGGUGUGAGCUUUAUUUUUUCACAGCUGAUUAAUGCAGUAAUUGUGUGGUCACUUACCAUACCUUCUUUCCUUUUGUUUUGAGGUACAUUAUUUUGUGUGAAUGAUAGCCUGUUGAAAGGUUUCAGUGAAAUGUUGAUAUAGACUUACGCUUACUGAACACACUAUUUUAUAUUUGCUUUUUGAUAAUACAUUUGGAUUUAAAUUAAAUGUAAAAUAUAUUUGAUGAUUUUUGCUGUGCCAGUUGGAUAGUGAGGUAAUAUUUGUAUUUAGAGAACAGGCAAGGAGGAAAAAUAUAUUUGUUAGCUUCUGGCAGUUUAUAACAUACUACAACAGUGUUAAGAGAUUGACCGAACACGGACACCCCUCACUACUUUUACAAACAGUACUACUUAAGACAUGCACAAGAGCCUAUUGACUAGGUUUUUAUGGAUUCAAAUUUUGGUAUGUACUUAUGAAGAGUUAUCAAUUAGUAUAAUAGUUUAGCUACUGAAUUGACAUUUUGUUUUUAACUUAGGAUGUAAUUGUAAGGGAGAUGUUUAUAUCAAAGCUGUGAUAUUAAUUAGUUUGUAGCAUUCAUACAAACUUUUAAUAUUUAUCAAAUACAUUCAUCAAAUAAAAUAUUUUGUUUCA